GACGAACGCUGGCGGCGUGCCUAAUACAUGCAAGUCGAACGCUUUUUCUUUCACCGGAGCUUGCUCCACCGAAAGAAAAGGAGUGGCGAACGGGUGAGUAACACGUGGGUAACCUGCCCAUCAGAAGGGGAUAACACUUGGAAACAGGUGCUAAUACCGUAUAACAAUCGAAACCGCAUGGUUUCGGUUUGAAAGGCGCUUUUGCGUCACUGAUGGAUGGACCCGCGGUGCAUUAGCUAGUUGGUGAGGUAACGGCUCACCAAGGCAACGAUGCAUAGCCGACCUGAGAGGGUGAUCGGCCACAUUGGGACUGAGACACGGCCCAAACUCCUACGGGAGGCAGCAGUAGGGAAUCUUCGGCAAUGGACGGAAGUCUGACCGAGCAACGCCGCGUGAGUGAAGAAGGUUUUCGGAUCGUAAAACUCUGUUGUUAGAGAAGAACAAGGAUGAGAGUAGAAUGUUCAUCCCUUGACGGUAUCUAACCAGAAAGCCACGGCUAACUACGUGCCAGCAGCCGCGGUAAUACGUAGGUGGCAAGCGUUGUCCGGAUUUAUUGGGCGUAAAGCGAGCGCAGGCGGUUUCUUAAGUCUGAUGUGAAAGCCCCCGGCUCAACCGGGGAGGGUCAUUGGAAACUGGGAAACUUGAGUGCAGAAGAGGAGAGUGGAAUUCCAUGUGUAGCGGUGAAAUGCGUAGAUAUAUGGAGGAACACCAGUGGCGAA
rnacentral:rRNA from 1 species